AUUCCAGCUCCAAUAGCGUAUACUAAAGUUGUUGCAGUUAAAAAGCUCGUAGUUGAAUUUCUGGUCUCGGGCUUCGGUCUGCCUCAAACGAGGUACGCACCAGUUGUCUGAAUCCAUCCUCGGGGAGAACAUAUGUGUUAUUAAUUUGAUGUGUAUGGGAUCCUCGUCAUUUACUGUGAGCAAAAUAGAGUGUUCAAAGCAGGCUUAUGCCGUUGAAUACAUUAGCAUGGAAUAAUAAGAUAAGACCUUGGUCUAUUUUGUUGGUUUGUACUCCAAGGUAAUGAUUAAUAGGGAUAGUUGGGGGUAUUCGUAUUCAAUUGUCAGAGGUGAAAUUCUUGGAUUUAUGGAAGACGAACUACUGCGAAAGCAUUUACCAAGGAUGUUUUCAUUG
rnacentral:rRNA from 1 species